AUUGAACGCUGGCGGCAUGCCUUACACAUGCAAGUCGAACGGUAACAGGUCUUCGGAUGCUGACGAGUGGCGAACGGGUGAGUAAUACAUCGGAACGCGCCUAGUAGUGGGGGAUAACUACUCGAAAGAGUGGCUAAUACCGCAUGAGAUCUACGGAUGAAAGCAGGGGAUCGCAAGACCUUGUGCUACUAGAGCGGCCGAUGGCGGAUUAGGUAGUUGGUGGGAUAAAAGCUUACCAAGCCGACGAUCUGUAGCUGGUCUGAGAGGACGAGCAGCCAAACGGGGACGGGGACACGGCCCAGACUCCUACGGGAGGCAGCAGUGGGGAAUUUGGGACAAUGGGCGCAAGCCUGCUCCAGCAAUGCCGCGUGCAGGAUGAAGGCCUUCGGGUUGUAAACUGCUUUUGUACGGAACGAAAAGCCCUGGGUUAAUACCCUGGGGUCAUGACGGUACCGUAAGAAUAAGCACCGGCUAACUACGUGCCAGCAGCCGCCGUAACAC
rnacentral:rRNA from 1 species